rnacentral:rRNA from 1 species
AUUGAACGCUGGCGGUAUGCUUAACACAUGCAAGUCGAACGGUAACAGGCCUUCGGGCGCUGACGAGUGGCGGACGGGUGAGUAACGCGUAGGAAUCUGCCUCAUAGUGGGGGACAACGUGGGGAAACUCACGCUAAUACCGCAUACGCCUACGGGGAAAGCGGGGAUCUUCGGACCUCGCGCUAUGAGAUGAGCCUGCGUUAGAUUAGCUAGUUGGUAGGGUAAAGGCCUACCAAGGCGACGAUCUAUAGCUGGUCUGAGAGGACGAUCAGCCACACUGGGACUGAGACACGGCCCAGACUCCUACGGGAGGCAGCAGUGGGGAAUAUUGGACAAUGGGCGCAAGCCUGAUCCAGCAAUACCGCGUGUGUGAAGAAGGCCCUAGGGUUGUAAAGCACUUUCAAUUGGGAGGAAAACCUGCCGGUCAAUACCCGGCAGCUUGACAUUACCUUUAGAAGAAGCACCGGCUAACUCCGUGCCAGCAGCCGCGGUAU